UAGGGAAUCUUCCGCAAUGGACGCAAGUCUGACGGAGCAACGCCGCGUGAGUGAAGAAGGAUUUCGGUUCGUAAAACUCUGUUGUUAGAGAAGAACAGCGCAUAGAGUAACUGUUAUGCGUGUGACGGUAUCUAACCAGAAAGGGACGGCUAACUACGUGCCAGCAGCCGCGGUAAUACGUAGGUCCCGAGCGUUGUCCGGAUUUAUUGGGCGUAAAGCGAGCGCAGGCGGUUAGAUAAGUCUGAAGUUAAAGGCAGUGGCUCAACCAUUGUAGGCUUUGGAAACUGUUUAACUUGAGUGCAGAAGGGGAGAGUGGAAUUCCAUGUGUAGAGGUGAAAUGCGUAGAUAUAUGGAGGAACACCGGUGGCGAAAGAGGCUCUCUGGUCUGUAACUGACGCUGAGGCUCGAAAGCGUGGGGAGCGAACAGG
rnacentral:rRNA from 1 species